GCUCUGGGGGAUUAGUGGCGAACGGGUGAGUAACACGUGAGCAACCUGCCCCUGACUCUGGGAUAAGCGCUGGAAACGGUGUCUAAUACUGGAUACGAGUAGUGAUCGCAUGGUCAGCUACUGGAAAGAUUUUUUGGUUGGGGAUGGGCUCGCGGCCUAUCAGCUUGUUGGUGAGGUAAUGGCUCACCAAGGCGUCGACGGGUAGCCGGCCUGAGAGGGUGACCGGCCACACUGGGACUGAGACACGGCCCAGACUCCUACGGGAGGCAGCAGUGGGGAAUAUUGCACAAUGGGCGGAAGCCUGAUGCAGCAACGCCGCGUGAGGGAUGACGGCCUUCGGGUUGUAAACCUCUUUUAGCAGGGAAGAAGCGAGAGUGACGGUACCUGCAGAAAAAGCGCCGGCUAACUACGUGC
rnacentral:rRNA from 1 species